rnacentral:rRNA from 1 species
UAUGGAGGAUGCAAGCGUUAUCCGGAAUGAUUGGGCGUAAAGCGUCCGCAGGUGGCUGUGUAAGUCUGCUGUCAAAGAGCGAAGCUCAACUUCGUAAAGGCAGUGGAAACUACACGGCUAGAGUGCGUUCGGGGCAGAGGGAAUUCCUGGUGUAGCGGUGAAAUGCGUAGAGAUCAGGAAGAACACCGGUGGCGAAGGCGCUCUGCUAGGCCGCAACUGACACUGAGGGACGAAAGCUAGGGGAGCGAAUGGG